UGAGGUUGCUGGGUGGGUGUCCCGGGAGCCCGCUCAACUCCCACCCAGCAGUCUGUCGGCGAAGCCUUCUCAGUGCGUCUCCGUCCGCCGCCGGUGCAGUGUGAAGCUGCUCCUCGGAGCUGCCAGCGGUGCUGCAGCUCACCAGCCCCAGCCAAAAAGCCCUGCGGCUGGAGGUGCGGCUGGGAGAGGACGCGGACGUGACUGUGACAGACGGCUGUUGGUGAGAAGCAACAACCUUUCUGACAAGAUCACAGUUCUGUCUGGAAAAAUUGAGAUCUCUCUGCCUGAAAGUGUUGAUGUGAUAAUUUCUGAACCAAUGGGUUAUAUGCUGUUCAGUGAAAGGAUGUUGGAAAGUUACCUCCACUCCAAAAAUGGUUAAAAUGAAACACCUGCUGAUACAUACACUAUGAUUGCAUCACUGUUGCAACAUGCCAUAAUGGAUGAUGGCACAGUAGCCUCAAAUGCCAGACAGCGGAGUGUAGAUGAGAGCAGAAUGGUCAAAUAUGAUGAAGAUUCUGAAGGUCCAGUUUCACAGGAGGGCUUCUGAAAACUGUGUUGCCGCCAUGGAAACGAAGGGUAAAAAGAAGUUCUUGGGGAGGAGUGGGAAAGCACGUCGUGGGAAAGUACAGCAUGGGAAAAGGAAAUUUAAAAAAGAUAAUGAUUUGAGUCCACCAAAGAAACUGCUUAACAAAAGAGAUGAGGAGGGAAAGCCUAAAUCCCUUACCAAGAAAUUUGCAAAAGGACAGUUAACACCUGGAAGGGCUACUGUCAAACAAUUCAAGAAUAAACAGCAUUCAGAAAAGUUUGCGGAGAAGAGGAAGCUCCAGGGUGGUGAAGAGGGAGGGCCAGAUUCAAAGAAGCCAAAGUGGAAUGACUUCAAAAAGAAAAAAAAGGAGUUAAAGCAAACCAGACAACUUAAUGAUAAAAGUAAUUAUGACAUAAUUUUAAAAUCAAAGCAAAUAUGGGAAAGUGUGAGAAGGAAGAAAUGUGAUAAGGAGAAGCGGGAAAAACUAAUGAGUGAACUGGAGAAGCUUCUUCAUGGGAAAAUUAAAAGUCUGGCGUUUGCACAUGAUUCAACUCGAGUGAUCCAGUGCUUUAUUCAGUAUGGUAAUGAGAAGCAAAGACAAGAGACAUUUGAAGAGUUGAAAGAUAACCUAUUAGAGUUAAGCAAGUCAAAAUAUUCCAGAAAUAUAGUGAAGAAGUUUCUUUCGUAUGGGACAAAACAACAAGUUGCGGAAAUAAUAAAAAGUUUUAAAGGGCAUGUGAGAAAAAUGCUGCGUCACGCCGAAGCAUCAGCUGUGGUGGAAUAUGCAUAUAAUGACAAAGCCAUUCUGGAGCAGAGGAAUAUGCUGACAGAAGAACUAUAUGGGAACACUUUCCAGGUUUACAAGACUGCAGUUGUCCCAACACUGGAUAAAGUGUUGGAAGCUCAGCCUGAAAAGAGGGAGGCCAUCUUGGAUGAAAUGAAACAGAUUCUUACACCAAUGGCACAAAAGGAGGCUGUGAUAAAGCACUCACUGGUACAUAAAGUGUUUUUGGACUUUUUCACUUAUGCUCUUCCAAAACAAAGAUCUGAAAUGAUAGAAGCUAUCAGAGAGGCUGUCAUAUACCUGGCACACACUCAUGAUGGAGCCCGAGUAGCAAUGCACUGCUUAUGGCAUGGUACUCCCAAGGACAGGAAAGUCAUUGUAAAAACUAUGAAGACAUAUAUUGAAAAAAUAGCAACGGGUGAAUUUUCUCAUCUGGUCUUGCUGGCGGCGUUUGAUUGCAUUGAUGACACAAAACUUAUGAAACAAUUAGUUAUAGCAGAAAUAAAUGCUUCUUUGCCCAAUGUAAUAAACAACAAGUAUGGAAAGAAGGUCUUGUUGUACUUGCUAAGUCCCAGAGACCCUGCACAUUUUGUUCCAGAAAUCAUUACGCUUCUGCAACAGGGAGAUGGAAAUGCCUAUAGUAAGAAGAAUACUGAGCUCCGCCGCCAUGAGCUCCUGGAAGCCAUUUCCUCACCUUUGCUAGAGUAUCUGCAACAACAUACCCAAGAAGUGGUGACAGACAAAGCUGUUUUUGUCUUGGUUGCUGACAUCUUAAGGACUGCUGUUGGUGACAUCCAGCCUGCACUAGAUGCAAUUGCUAAUUUGGCAGCAGAAGAGCUGGUCCCAGGUGGCCGUGAUGGGGAGCUUCACAUUGCAGAGCAUCCAGCAGGCCAUCUAGUUUUGAAAUGGUUAAUAGAGCAAGAUGAAAAGAUGAGAGAGAAUGGAAAAGAAGUUUGCUUUGGAAGAACAUUGGUGGAACGUGUUGGUAUUGAGAAUAUGAAGACCUGGGCAGAAGUAAAUCGAGGUGCUAUUAUCCUUUGUUGCCUUCUCCGCAGUGCUGAUCAAAAAGUGGCAAAUACAGUCAAAAAAGGAUUGAAAAAGCUUGUCCCAAAGUUGAAGGUGAAUAAAAAUGGAAAAGGAAUAGAAGCAUUACUGGAAAAAUUGACAUCCUAGUGUAAAUGAAGCUAAAGAGACAGUUCACAUCAGUGCAACCAACUGAGAGUUGGUCGUGAUGAUCCACAAACUACUCCUGCAGUCCAUCAGAACUGCAGUGCUCAGCACCCAUGAAGAUCAGGUU